GACGAACUGUCCUAACGUUGUUCGGAAUCACUGGGCUUAAAGGGCGCGUAGGCGGUCGAUCAAGUCAGGGGUGAAAUCCUGCAGCUUAACUGUAGAAGUGCCUCUGAUACUGAUCGUCUGGAGGGAGAUAGGGGUGUGCGGAACUUCCAGUGGAGCGGUGAAAUGCGUUGAUAUUGGAAGGAACGCCGGAGGCGAAAGCGGCGCACCUGGAU
rnacentral:rRNA from 1 species